GCGUGCCAGUGCCUAUCUCCUUGCUUGCCUCCCUACAGUUACAAGUACCUUAAGGGCAAUCACGAUGUCUGGUUGACUGUAGUGUCUCCAACACCUUGCACACUGCUGCACAAAUAGUUGCUGAAAAAAUGACUGUGAUUCCACCCAAUGCUUGUGGGCAAUAGUGGGGCAAUGACAUGGCCUGUCCUAAGAACACUGACAUUGUUGUCUUCAUGUUCCUUUCACCAUCAAGAAUGAUAUUCACUGAACACUUGCUGUGUGUCAUGCUAUUUUCCAGGGGUCCCCAGUGGCCUAGAUGUGGCAGCAGUGAUUGAACGGUUAAAACAUCAGAGUACACAGAAUUGUCUGGAGCUGUGAAAGUGUCAAGCUUGGAGAUUCAGACAAAUGCUGAGAGCAGUGAAGAGUAUACAGAACUUUCCCCAGGAAAUCCUUUGGGUGAUGCACACAGAGUGAACCCAGGAAUCUCUUAGCAACCUGGGAGACUAAAGAAGGAGGCCUGAACAUAAAGAUCUGUUUCAGCCUUGGAAAUCCUCCAACACAGUUCCAGGAUAAUUCUUCUAAGUCUCUCAUCUUGUACCAGCUCUGGGCUAACAAGCCUCCACAGCCUCCAUGAGUGUACAGGUUCCCAUUUUCCCAGGUUGCUGGUCACCAAGCCUUCUGAAUUCUGAAGAAGUUUUAUCUUUACCAGUAAGGCCAAUAACCACUCUGCUGUUUUGCUGAGAUUCUGCUAUACAUACAGAUGACAAGGAGAUUUUCCAGAAAAAGACGUCUUAAUGACAAAAAGCUAUUGCUGUAAUUAAAAAACAAACAAACCUCCUAAUCUCAGAGGUCUAAGACUAGGAAGGUUAUUUCUUGAAAACCUUGAAGUCCAGUUGGAUCUUUGACAGUUAUACCCAGACCACUUCCAUCUAGUGGUUCCCCAUCUUCUAAGCCUCUUAGUUCUCCACUGGGUCCUCUGCAUCUCCCUCUUGGCAAGGGAAGAGAACAGCAUGAGCAUGAACAUCCCGUGAGAAGUUUAGGGAAGUCAAGAACAUCACUGUCACUCACCAUCAGAACCAGCCCAUGCCUCACCACACUGCAGGGGGCUGGGAGAUGUCAGUUCACCACGUGCCCAGGAAGAAGAGGAGACCAUGGAAUGGUGCCUGCCACAGUGCAGUAAACAGAUGUUUGUUGAAAGAAUGAAUGAAUGGCAUCAGUGCAUUAUAAUCAUCUGUUGCUGGGGCAAAACAAGCUAAGGACAGGGAAUAGGCACCAGAAAGGAGUUGCAACUUUUGGAACAAUCUUCUCGGCUAUCCUCUGCCUCCAGGACCAGCCAACACCCUUUUUUGAGCUUAGCUCCUUACUGCCUGAUCAAACAUGAGCAUCCAGAUUUGUCCUAGUAAUUCCACUGAGGUAGAGGCCCCGUCAACUGCCCAGUCAACAUCCACCUGCAGGUUUCCCACACUUACCUCUUUCUGGGCUUCUAUUGCCAUCACAAAAAUGUGGCUCUGGAGGGCAAGGGCCACUUCUUUUGCAGGUUGGCAGAGAAGAUGCUGCAGGGUGCUGAGCUAGCGUCUCUUGAAGAUAGGAAAGUAGCGUGGAUGUAGUACCUUCUUCCAGCAUGCAAAAAGCUGUCCUGAGAUGAGUGGGGUGAAACCCUGUACUCCAUGGAAGUGCCACGGUCCCAGAGAAGAACCUGACCCAGGCCCUUUUGGACCUGCAUGCCCUGGGUUCUGCCCACACAGACCCCCCAGUUCUGUGACUUCUGGGAGAACUGCAUCCUAGAUGAGCAGGUGAAAUUCAUGAAGACCAGCAACCGCCUGACUAACCUCCUCAGUUAUACUGGGCUGGACGAGUAUAUCUUUGAAAGGCUCACCCGCAAGCAUGACUAGGAGCCUCCAGAGCCCAGCAGACUUUGAAGGGCCUCUAUGGCAUCCCCUUGGUGUCAGGGCUUUGCCUGAGCCUUUCCCUGCAGACACUCAGUAGCUUUUUAACCUGGAGCCUUCUCCUAAGCUGUAGAAUGAAUUAAAAAAAUAAGGCUUUUUUGGAAAAAAAAAUUAAAGUGUUUAAGAACACUUUAAAAUUUUCUCCCAAAAUGUUAUAUCCAGUGGUAUACUGGGAAAUCAGAUCUCAGUUAAAAAAAAGCCCUGAUUUGUAGUGCUUGCCAAUUUCCAUGGUAUAAAUAUUCCCACCACUGCCAAUUUUAAACCACCAGUGUUUGAAUAACCAGUUCACAAAAUUACUGAAUACUAGAUUUAACAAUCAACUUUUGCAAGCUGUCUCUAGCACAUCAUAGCAGCAAAAUCUCAUUCACUGUAUAAGCCUUUAUUAAAUAGUACAGAGGGCUUUAUGGAAGGAAAUUUGCAUCUUCAUUCUGACCUGAGAGAAUGUGGCAAAGGAGUCACGGUGCUCCCCCAAAUCCCUACUGUGGAGAUUUAAGAGGCUAGUUCUCAGUUCUCAUGGAAUAGAGAUUCAAGGGAAGGGAGGUUCCUUAAAUCUUUUCAACUCAUUUUGUUUCUUCAUAUUUCUAUUUUCUUUCUCUCUUUGAGUCAGUUGUUUAGAGAACACUGGGCUAGAUAUCUCAGAGUGAGCUACUUAGGCACAUGAGAACAUUACCUGGGUUUUUAGCUCUUCUCAAAUUCAAAAGCUUGCAUGGCUUUGUCAGAUAUGAGAAAACUCUGGGAGCCUCCUUCUAGCUAUAAACCAUAACACUGGUUGGCUUCCCCUUCUGUUUAUUCUCUUACAGACUUUCAGAAACUCUGCUCUUCUCAUCUAGCUCAGCAACUGGAAUAAGUUUUACUUUCAAAUACAGUUAGAGCUUGGCUCAGUAAUGAUGCAUCUGAAGUCCAUUUUCAGGGUCUUAAACUUCUUUUUCAAUGUGACGGAGCAUAAUGCUUAUAGCUGUGUAUCUUGUCAUUAGGUGGGAUUCAAUUAAGCCUAGCUCUUGAGCCCUGAUGAAGUAAAGAAGUUACAGUUGUUACCUCCUAGGACAUCUGUGAGUAAUGUCUUAAGUGUUCAUUUAGGGAAAUGGUGCUCAUUUGCUGAGGGUGAAGCCAGGGCUUGAUUUGUUAAUUACAGAGGAUAAUUCUUUGGUAUCUAAGGCGUGGCUUUGCUUCCUCAUAACCUGUCUUUUUAUUAUCAGUGUCUAAAUAGUAAAUAAAAUUGGCCUUUCUUUAAAAGACUUUUUGGUGUACUUUUACAUGAAUGGAAAUGAUGGAGAUAAUUUCCAUCCUUCAUCUCUGUAUGUCACAUUCCCUGCUAUGUCUCUGGUAGAGGUUCACCUUCAGUGCACCAAAGAUAUUGUCCAUGAUCUGUUCGUACCUGGGCUCAGUUCUUGGAUUCACUGCCUCCACCCUCCACUCCACCUUCUCAUCUUACAGCUGGUCCCACACCUCCAAAUCUCUGAAACUUCAGCUUCCAGUAACUAUAGUCAACAAGUUAGAUUCUAUCUUGUCCUCCUAAGGGAACUGGCAGUCUUUCUUUCGCUCUCAGUUUCCCUCAUCUGUGGCCCAUAAGCAAUUGCAAUGUGAUUUACCAUUCACUGUUAAUAAAAUUUUUACUAGGGAUGUAAUAAUUAACAAGUGGUUUCCUGUUUUUCACAUAUAAAUGUGAAAACUACCUUUGUCCUUCCGGUAAUAACUGUGCUAGUAAACAUGCUGACUGGAAACUUCAGAUUUAUAUGCAAUAUAUUCAUGGACUUCCCAAAUUUGGCCUCAGGGGAUGCCUUGGAAUUCAUUCAGCAGCACAAAGACCAAGGCUGGGAAGGCCUUUGCCUUGAAAAACCAAUAGUUUUGAUGGGAGCAGGCAGUUUGUUGACUGUCUUCAUCUAUAAGUAUUAGUAUUUCUAUGUCAAUGUCUAGGAAAUAUGUGUUUCUGAUAGAAUUUCCUGAUUUUAAAGUAUCAUUUUCUCCCCAUGGCAAUAAAAGAGUGUAGCUACUAUAUGUGAGAGCUAUUAUGUUCCUUUAUUAAUUUAAUUUUUGGCUUGAGUGUUAUAUUUCAUGCUAAGGUCAAAUAUGUUCCUUCUUAAUUACCCAUUUAAGUCUAUGGUGUAUUCCAAAGGGUUGUUUUCAAAAGAUGGCUUUUAAAAUUCCAGAAUGCACUUGCUUAGAGACAUGCAUGGUAAAUUUCAAGGAGUAGGGGCAAAUGCAAGUAAUGGUUAUGUGUGUCUUGCUGGGAGACACUGUAUUUCUAAUCACUCACUUGGUGGGGUGUCUAGUCUAUAAGCAAGAGUAAUACCAUCUUGACAAAGCCACCACGUUGACUCAUGGAUCACGUUUACAUUUCUUUUCCAUUGAUACCCAAGUAUCUUUUAGGUAAUAUUCAUCUUGGAACAAUUAACAUUGUUACCUGGGGUGAGACUCCUCGCUCUAAUUCCAGUGACGACACUUGGAAGUCAGCAGUGAGCAUUCAAGUGGCUGCCCUGCAUGUAGACUUUGUUCUCUUAUUUCCCCUUCCACAUAGACCCUUUCUCCUUCCCUCUAUAAAUUGAUCUCCCUAAACCAUGUUAAAAACAAAAUUCUGCCAAGUAAAUUUGAAGAUGUAUUUGGCUUUUAUCAAGUGGUUCAUGAAUUGAGAAGCAUCUCCUCUAACAAGUAGAGAUACUCUGAGGGGCAACAAAGAGAGAAGUUUUUAAAGGCAGGACAAGGAAGUUCUUAAUAGGAAAAGGAUAAUUUCAGGGGAGACCACCUUUAUCUGGGGACAAAAGGGUCCACAAAGGGUGGAUUCCUUUGGGGGAUGGAGAGGACACAUGUGACAUUUUCUUAUUGAUGCUUUCCAGAAAAUUCCUGACUGACUACAUUUCUGCAAUUACAAUUAGGUUAGGCAUUAAGCCCUAAUUUGGUGACUUGGCCUAGCAGAAGCGACACCAGGUUGGGCCUUGGUCUUUCUUUUUAAAAACUCCCUCUGUUUGAUCAGGCUCUCAGCUUAACUGAGACAUGAUCAAAAUUUAAGGCAUCCACGUCACUCUCAGCUACCACUCUUUAGUGCACACUGCUUUUGUUGUUCCUGUUGUGUGGUGUCUAUAAGUCAUAACAUUUUUGCUUAAUCUCUGUGAUAUUCACAGUUUUGAACUCCAGGUUCAUGAUUUUAAGUCAGUCAUUCUCUUUGAUUCUCUUCUGAAGCUCCAGUCUCAGGGAGAUCAUCUGUUUGGUAAUUAGUGGCUACUUACUUGCAUUUAAAGCUUUAGGGAGGGUACAACACACCGGGGAGAUUACUAUGAUAACUAUAAGCAGGAUAAUUCCCAGUGUUGGAAGUGCACUUCAGAGCCAUCGUGCUCAGGACCCAAACCAGAGAAAAUCAAAUUAAUGAAAGAAAGACCCCUCUGAAGGAAUCACAUUUUUAAGCCAAGUGGCUUGUUCAGUGAUCCUGUAACUGAGUUUCAACUUCCCCAGAAGUGUUAAUCCAGGCACAGCAGGUAGUGUUGGGCACAGCAGGUAGUACUGGCCGCAGCACAGAUACGUCUUUGCACAACUAAAAGAUAAUCAAGAGCUAUCCUGUUAUCAAGGACAAUUUUGGCUAGAAAGCCUAAGGAUCAUUUUUGGGCAACUAUUGCUUCAGCAGCAAAUUCUGCAAUAACUUCAAGAAUUAAGGAGCGUUCCUAAUCAUAGCCUUUUUUACAUUUACCAUUAACCAGGAAAGCAGGGACCUGCCAAAGGAAUCAUGAAAGUCUC